rnacentral:misc_RNA from 1 species
ACAUCUCUUUCCAAGAUUUGAUAAGAUACCCAUAAGAUCAUUUGAUAGGACUUUUUAAACAGCCCACACUUUUUCCAAAUACUCAGAAAACACCAUACACCAUUAUUCCUAUACGUCUCUACCACAAAUUUAGAAUAGUAUCUUUAGAUGCCUAACCAGACUAAAAGAAGAGGAACAUGAUCAAACAGCAGCAUUGUCGACAAUCAUGGGUUCUGCAGCAGGCUCCUUUGUCUCUCCUCCAGCUCCAUUUGUGUCCAUAUUCUGCAACUUCGUCAUCUUUGCAAACAUGUUGCCAUAGAACUUGGCAUCCUUCUUGUUGUACUCUUUCAUCUUCUCCUUCAAAAUUUUAAAUUCCAACUUCACAUCCCUGUUAUUAGGAUCAAUCUCAAGUGCCUUCUUGAUGUCCUGCUCCGCUAAAUCUAAAUCUGCUUGCUGGAUAUAUGCUUGCGCUCUCCUGUACAGUGCCUUCACAUUCCUACCAUCAACCUCCAACACCUUGGUACAAAGCUUCUCCGCCUGCUUGUAGUCCUUCAACUUCAGCUUGCAUGCUGCAUUGUUAAGAUUGCACGAGACCUUAAGCACCUUAGAUUGCUUCUUCUCCUCCUCGCUGAAGGAGGUGUCAUGCUCAAUCAACUUAGCACCCUUUUCAUAUCUCUUAGAAGCCCUAGCAUAUUUCCCCAACUUGAACAAUGCAUUCCCCUCUUCCUUUUUCUUUCCGGCUGCUUCAAUCUUCUCUGAAGUGUUCAUGUCCCAUGAUUCUUUUUCCUUCACGAAAGAUACCAGCUCAAUUUCAUAAACAACAGUUGAGUUGGGAGGAAUCACAGCAAGAUCCUGCUUAGACUCAGCCGAACCAAAUGCAUGCUCAGGAGGAACAGUCACCAACGCAAUCUCACCCUUCUUCAUAGUGAUAACAGCUCUGUCCAAUCCCUCAAUGACUUGCUCUUCAUCAGUUUUGAACUCAAAAGGCUCUUCAUCAUCAUGACCCUUCUUCAAAAAUAUGGUCCCGUCCUGGAGCCUUCCAAUCAAAUUUACUUUCACAACUGAGCCUUCAUUGGGGCGCUCAUAUCCCUCUGCUUCCUUGAUAAUUUUCUUGAGUAUCUUCUUAUCAUCCCCAAUG